AGUGAACGCUGGCGGUAGGCCUAACACAUGCAAGUCGAACGGCAGCACAGUAGGAGCUUGCUCUUACGGGUGGCGAGUGGCGGACGGGUGAGGAAUACAUCGGAAUCUACUUUUUCGUGGGGGAUAACGUAGGGAAACUUACGCUAAUACCGCAUACGACCUACGGGUGAAAGCAGGGGAUCUUCGGACCUUGCGCGAUUGAAUGAGCCGAUGUCGGAUUAGCUAGUUGGCGGGGUAAAGGCCCACCAAGGCGACGAUCCGUAGCUGGUCUGAGAGGAUGAUCAGCCACGCUGGAACUGAGACACGGUCCAGACUCCUACGGGAGGCAGCAGUGGGGAAUAUUGGACAAUGGGCGCAAGCCUGAUCCAGCCAUACCGCGUGGGUGAAGAAGGCCUUCGGGUUGUAAAGCCCUUUUGUUGGGAAAGAAAAGCAGCAGGUUAAUACCCCGCUGUUCUGACGGUACCCAAAGAAUAAGCACCGGCUAACUUCGUG
rnacentral:rRNA from 1 species